rnacentral:rRNA from 1 species
AUUGAACGCUGGCGGCAGGCUUAACACAUGCAAGUCGAGCGGGGGAAGGUAGCUUGCUACCGGACCUAGCGGCGGACGGGUGAGUAAUGCUUAGGAAUCUGCCUACUAGUGGGGGACAACAUCUCGAAAGGGAUGCUAAUACCGCAUACGUCCUACGGGAGAAAGCAGGGGAUCUUCGGACCUUGCGCUAAUAGAUGAGACUAAGUCGGAUUAGCUAGUUGGUGGGGGAAAGGCCUACCAAGGCGACGAUCUGUAGCGGGUCUGAGAGGAUGAUCCGCCACACUGGGACUGAGACACGGCCCAGACUCCUACGGGAGGCAGCAGUGGGGAAUAUUGGACAAUGGGGGGAACCCUGAUCCAGCCAUGCCGCGUGUGUGAAGAAGGCCUUAUGGUUGUAAAGCACUUUAAGCGAGGAGGAGGCUACUUUAGUUAAUACCUAGAGAUAGUGGACGUUACUCGCAGAAUAAGCACCGGCUAACUCUGUGCCAGCCGCCGCCGUAA